UCCCCUCGGCGCUUGCAAACGAUCACGGCAGCGUCGAACAGGAAGAUGUGUCUGCGGAGGGAAUCAAAGCGACGGCCAAAUGAAAAUCUGUCUCUCAGGAGAUGAUACUUCAACACCCGCUGCAUGGGAACCACAAGCAGGUCUCUCAAGAUGUCGUCCAGGGUGGUGAUGGCCGUCUCCACGUGACUGCAGUAUUUCCCGUAGAUCAACAACCUGCGUCCGGUCAGAGCAGAAGGAUCCAACCGAUCAGUCGACAAAACUUUACACAAAUUUUCAUAGUUUGAUUGUGAUCUUACGAUUGAUAUGAGAUCACAAAAUUAUAAACACUCGUUUUUUUUUCUGUCAAACUAGAAAACAAACACAGUAGGGCUGCAACUAACAAUUAUUUUGGUAAUU